CGCCCAACAGCUAGCCUCUCCAUCAAAAAACAACAACCUAUUAUUAAUAACCCCCAAUACCCUAUUAACAUGUAAAAAGUAAACCAUUUUUCCCCCUUAGUAUGAACGACAAAAAAGGACCCUAGAGCAACAGAGAAAGUACCGCAAGGGAACGCUGAAAGAGAAAUGAAAAACCCAGUUUAAGCCUAAAAAAGCAGAGACUUUACCUCGUACCUUUUGCAUCAUGAUUUAGCAAGUAAUCUCAAGCAAAGUAAUGCUUUAGUUUGAUUCCCCGAAACUAGGUGAGCUACUCCAAGUCAGCCUAAUACAGGGCCAACCCGUUUCUGUGGCAAAAGAAUGGGAAGAACUUCGAGUAGUGGUGACAGACCUAUCGAACCUAGUUAUAGCUGGUUGCCUGGGAACUGGAUAGAAGUUCAGCCUCACGGCUUCUCCCUUCCUCCCCCUCCCCUCAGAUACCAAAGAAACCAUGAGAGUUAUUCAAAGGGGGAACAGCCCCUUUGAAACAAGAAACAACUUUCCCAGGAGGGUAAAGAUCAUAAUAUAUUUUAAGGUAAUCGUGUUCUGGUGGGCCUAAAAGCAGCCAUCCCUUUAGAAAGCGUUAAAGCUCGAACACACUCUUUUCCUCUUAUCCCGAUAAUUUAAUCUAAACCCCCUAACACUUACCAGGCCCUCCCACACAACUGUGGGAGUGACUAUGCUAAUAUGAGUAACAAGAGAGCCCCGGCUCUCUCCCUGCACACGCGUAAAUCGGAGUGGACCUCCCACCGAACCUUAACGGCCCCAAAACAAAGAGGGAACUGAAAAACUAAACCAGAGACCAGAAAAACAUUCAACAAUAAACCGUUAACCUUACACUAGAGUGCCAACAAGGAAAGACUAAAAGAAAAAGAAGGAACUCGGCAAACACAUAAGCCUCGCCUGUUUACCAAAAACAUCGCCUCUUGCAAAAAUAAUGAAUAAGAGGUCCCGCCUGCCCAGUGACUAUAUGUUCAACGGCCGCGGUAUUUUAACCGUGCAAAGGUAGCGCAAUCACUUGUCCUUUAAAUAGGGACCUGUAUGAAUGGCAUAACGAGGGCUUAACUGUCUCCUUUUUCAAGUCAAUGAAAUUGAUCCCCCCGUGCAGAAGCGGGGAUAAGCACAUAAGACGAGAAGACCCUGUGGAGCUUUAGACACUAAAGCAGAUCAAGUUAAACAACCCUAAACACAGGGCCAAACCAGACGAAUACUGCCCGAAUGUCUUUGGUUGGGGCGACCACGGGGAACACAAAACCCCCGCGUGGAUAGGGAGCACCCCUCCCCCUUAUACUCCUCCUACAAUCAAGAGUCCCCACUCUAAUGAACAGAAUUUCUGACCUACUAGAUCCGGCAACGCCGAUCAACGGACCCAGUUACCCCAGGGAUAACAGCGCAAUCCCCUUCUAGAGCCCAUAUCGACAAGGGGGUUUACGACCUCGAUGUUGGAUCAGGACAUCCUAAUGGUGCAGCCGCUAUUAAGGGUUCGUUUGUUCAACGAUUAAAGUCCUACGUGAUCUGAGUUCAGACCGGAGUAAUCCAGGUCGGUUUCUAUCUAUUGUAUGACCUUCUCCAGUACGAAAGGACCGAGAAGAAGGAGCCCAUAUUUUAAACACGCCCCACUCCUACCCAAUGAAAACAACUAAAAUGGACAAAGGAGCAUACCCCCAACUAAUUACCGAAAAUAACGGUCAU
rnacentral:rRNA from 1 species